UAAUAUAUUACUAACUGAACCUUUUUUUGGCAAAAGUAACGUUACUUUACAAUAUUACUUUGUGUGGUAAGUAACGAGUUAUAUUACUUUGCUUUGCUUUCAUGGGAAAAAAUCCCAAUCUCACAGUUUAUUUCAUUGUUUGUUUAACUGCGUACUCUACCAAAGAUAGGCUACUUACUAAGUCAGGUUGGAUCACUGCUUUCUCCUUCCAUCUGAUGGGCUACUUACUAAGUCAGGUUGGAUCACUGCUUUCUCCUUCCAUCUGAUAGGCUACUUACUAAGUCAGGUUGGAUCACUGCUUUCUCCUUCCAUCUGAUAGGCUACUUACUAAGUCAGGUUGGAUCACUGCUUUCUCCUUCCAUCUGAUGGGCUACUUACUAAGUCAGGUUGGAUCACUGCUUUCUCCUUCCAUCUGAUGGGCUACUUACUAAGUCAGGUUGGAUCACUGCUUUCUCCUUCCAUCUGAUGGGCUACUUACUAAGUCAGGUUGGAUCACUGCUUUCUCCUUCCAUCUGAUAGGCUACUUACUAAGUCAGGUUGGAUCACUGCUUUCUCCUUCCAUCUGAUAGGCUACUUACUAAGUCAGGUUGGAUCACUGCUUUCUCCUUCCAUCUGAUAGGCUACUUACUAAGUCAGGUUGGAUCACUGCUUUCUCCUUCCAUCUGAUAGGCUACUUACUAAGUCAGGUUGGAUCACUGCUUUCUCCUUCCAUCUGAUAGGCUACUUACUAAGUCAGGUUGGAUCACUGCUUUCUCCUUCCAUCUGAUAGGCUACUUACUAAGUCAGGUUGGAUCACUGCUUUCUCCUUCCAUCUGAUAGGCUACUUACUAAGUCAGGUUGGAUCACUGCUUUCUCCUUCCAUCUGUGGCGCUGCUUAAUUAGCCGUAUACUGUAUACUGUAAGCCACACACAGAUUUCCUCUCCUUUCAUUGAAAAUCUUUCCCUGGAGCCGCCAGUUCUUUCUGUGAGACCUCACAUACACAGCCUAUAGAGAUGUAUAGACAUCAUAGGUGCGCCCUCUAUACAUUUCUAUGGACAGCAGCCCGUCAUUAUAUUUCUCAAAACACCCUUUCUCCCCUCGCUCAAGAACUAAAUGAGGAAACAAGUCGAGAUCGGAUCAUGGAAACACACCCGGUGGAGAUAAGAUUCUGAAAGUAACACACACGUUUUUUGACAAAGUAACUGUAAUAAAAUAACCCAAGUAAUGCAUUACUUUACUCUGUUGCUCAUAAAAUGUAUCAGAUUACGUUACUUGUUAGUUCUGUAACGCGAUACCCCCAACACUGGGUAACACACACCCUGACCUGCCCACAUACUCAUCUAUAGCCCAUGACUGAUCCAGGGCCUGCAUUCUGGAGCGUAGUGUUUUCCAACUCCAGUCCUCAAGUACCCCCAACUGUACACAUUUUUAUUGCAGGCCCAGACAAGCACACCUGAUUCAACUGAUCAUCAAGCCCUAAAUUAGUUCAAUGAUGUAUGUUUGACCCAGGCUACACACUUUUUAUGCUGUUGGGAGUUCUCGACGACUGGAGUUGGGAAACACUGCUGUAGCCAAUGAAUAGCCACUGCUGUAGCCAACUGCUCUUAAAUGCUAGUAAAACUAAGUGCAUGCUCUUCAACCGAUUGCUGCCCACACCCGCCUGCCCGACUAGCAUCACUACUCUGGACGGUUCUGACUUAGAAUAUGUGGACAACUACAAAUACCUAGGUGUCUGGUUAGACUGUAAACUCUCCUUCCAGACUCAUAUCAAACAUCUCCAAUCCAAAAUUAAAUCUAGAAUCGGCUUCCUAUUUCGCAACAAAGCCUCCUUCACCCAUGCUGCCAAACAUAUCCUUGUACAAAAUAGCCUCCAACACUCUACUCAGCAAAUUGUAUGCAGUCUAUCACAGUGCCGUCUGUUUUGUCACCAAAGACCCAUAUACUACCCACCACUGCGACCUGUAUGCUCUCACUGCGACCUGUACGCUCUCACUGGCUGGCCCUCACUACAUAUCCGUCGCCAAACCCACUAGCUCCAGAUCAUCUAUAAGUCUUUGCUAGGUAAAGCCCCGCCUUAUCUCAACUCACUGGUCACCAUAGCAACACCAACCCGUAGCAAAGCGCUCCAGUCGGUACAUCUCACUGGUCAUCCCCAAAGCUAACACCCCCUUAGGCCACCUUUCCUUCCAGUUCUCUGCUGCCAAUGACUGGAACGAACUGCAAAAAUCACUGAAGCUGGAGACUUAUAUCUUACCGAUCGCUGCACCUGUACACAGCCCAUCUGUAAAUGGCACAACCAACUACCUCAUCCCCAUAUUGUUAUUUACCCUCUUGCUCUUUUUGCACCCCAGUAUCUCUACUUCAUAUCAUCGUCUGCACAUCUAUCACUACAGUGUUAAUGAUAAAUUGUAAUUAUUUCACCUCUAUGGCCUAUUUGUUGCCUUUACCUCCCUAAUCUUACUACAUUUGCACACACUGUAUAAAGAUGUUUUUCUACUGUAUUAAAGACUGUACGUUUGUUUAUGUGUAACUCUGUGUUGUUGUAUGUGUUGAACUGCUAUGCUUUAUCUUGGCCAGAUCACAGUUGUGAAUGAUAACUUGUUCUCAACUGGCCUACCUGGUUAAAUAAAGGUGGAAAAAGUCAUUUAAAAAAAUAGGCACGUUGCAUAGAUCUAUACUAUAACUUCUUAUCUGAAGAUGCCUCGUUUUUUCUCAAUUACAUGCACUGAAUGUACUUCCUAUUAAACCAAUCAACCAACUAACUCUGUCUUCU